CCUACGGGGGGCAGCAGUGAGGAAUAUUGGUCAAUGGACGAGAGUCUGAACCAGCCAAGUAGCGUGAAGGAUGACUGCCCUAUGGGUUGUAAACUUCUUUUAUAUGGGAAUAAAACGUUCCACGUGUGGGAUUUUGUAUGUACCAUAUGAAUAAGGAUCGGCUAAUUCCGUGCCAGCAGCCGCGGUAAUACGGAGGAUCCGAGCGUUAUCCGGAUUUAUUGGGUUUAAAGGGAGCGUAGGUGGAUUGUUAAGUCAGUUGUGAAAGUUUGCGGCUCAACCGUAAAAUUGCAGUUGAAACUGGCAGUCUUGAGUACAGUAGAGGUGGGCGGAAUUCGUGGUGUAGCGGUGAAAUGCUUAGAUAUCACGAAGAACUCCGAUUGCGAAGGCAGUUCACUGGACUGCAACUGACACUCAGGCUCGAAAGUGUGGGUAUCAAACAGGAUUAGAUACCCCUGUAGUC
rnacentral:rRNA from 1 species